rnacentral:lncRNA from 1 species
AAAAAAAGUUACAAUGCCAAACGAGUGUAGAUCCACUCCACGCCACCUUGGGCUUGAGCUGGAGAGUUCCAGACUAUCAAUCACAGCCGCCCGUGUAUCGUGCAACGGCCAUGAUUGAGAAGGUGACGUGAGGGGGACGGUUCCCUAAUCAUAUUCCCGGGCCCUCCACGACAGCCGUGACCGAGAGUCGUGACAUCCCGGUCCCACUUCAUUCAAUGAGAAACAGCGAAUCUUUCGUUAAACCGCAUCCAAAGCGGCAUGGACCACGUAGUUUUCGUUUCCUUCAUAAUAGCACCCUCCCCACACGCACACGCAAAAAGAAAACUACAGGCCGAAAACGAACAUCAAAAGCUCCCUCUCCAUUUCUACCACGCGGCGUGGCAUGAGAGAAUUGGUGCUUCAUGCAACCGAGAUUAAUCGCACCAAACCUCUUUAUGGCACGAAGCAAGUCCAAGCAAUGGUGGGGCAUUGCUAGUAAAAUAAGGGCCCUGAUCAGCUACGACAGCUAGAUUUUGUAAUAUGAUACUGGACCAAUUGAGCUAAUUAAAAGUUGAAAUCAUGAUCCCUAAAGUCCAAUAUUUCAAGUUCGUUUAUGUAAUUAUCGGAAGGUUGAAUUUGGAUCGGGUGAUCCUCAUAUUAUUAUUCUAAUCCAAAUAUGCUUAACUAUAAAAUAAUUAAGUUUUGAAUACUAAAUUUAAAGUAAUUAACUCUUUAAAUCAUCAAAAUUAAAGAAUCUCUGUAAUGAAAAUGAUGUAGAACGGACCGGUAUGGCGGAUGAUCUUCUUGGGACAUUGAUGCCAGCUGGCCACGCGGUCGAAUUGAGAUCCAAUCGCGUCCUAAUCGGCUAACGCUGGCACAGUGAGCAGGGACGACCGGCUAUCACGUCUUAAGUCACUACAGCUGGCUUUCUUGUCGUGAUACCGAACUACCGAAAAAGCUCAGAUUCAUGUGAAGAAACGAGUCACGAAGCCCGCAUAUUUAUUUUUAAGCAUCCUCGACAAUCUUUUUGAUAAGAUUUAUUAAAACAUAGUAAGUU